rnacentral:rRNA from 1 species
UACAGAGGUGGCAAGCGUUGUUCGGAAUUACUGGGCGUAAAGGGCGCGCAGGCGGCUUAUUUUGUCAGGCGUGAAAGCCCCGGGCUUAACCUGGGAACUGCGUUUGAUACGGAUGGGCCAGAGUUCGGGAGAGGAGAGUGGAAUUCCCAGUGUAGAGGUGAAAUUCGUAGAUAUUGGGAAGAACACCGGUGGCGAAGGCGGCUCUCUGGACCGAUACUGACGCUGAGGCGCGAAAGCGUGGGGAGCAAACAGG